AUUGAACGCUGGCGGAAUGCUUUACACAUGCAAGUCGAACGGCAGCACGGACUUCGGUCUGGUGGCGAGUGGCGAACGGGUGAGUAAUGUAUCGGAACGUGCCCAGUCGUGGGGGAUAACGUAGCGAAAAUUACGCUAAUACCGCAUACGAUCUAUGGAUGAAAGCGGGGGAUCGCAAGACCUCGCGCGAUUGGAGCGGCCGAUAUCAGAUUAGGUAGUUGGUGGGGUAAAGGCCCCCCAAGCCAACGAUCUGUAGCUGGUCUGAGAGGACGACCAGCCACACUGGAACUGAGACACGGUCCAGACUCCUACGGGAGGCAGCAGUGGGGAAUUUUGGACAAUGGGCGAAAGCCUGAUCCAGCCAUUCCGCGUGCAGGAUGAAGGCCCUCGGGUUGUAAACUGCUUUUGUACAGAACGAAAAGGUUUCUACUAAUACUAGGAGCUCAUGACGGUACUGUAAGAAUAAGCACCGGCUAACUACGUGCCAGCCGCCGCGGUAA
rnacentral:rRNA from 1 species